rnacentral:rRNA from 1 species
GCAGCCUCUUGGGAUAACACUGACGCUCAUGCACGAAAGCGUGGGAGCAAACAGGAUUAGAUACCCUGGUAGUCCACGCCCUAAACGAUGUCAACUAGCUGUUGGGGUCUUCGGACCUUGGUAGCGCAGCUAACGCGUGAAGUUGACCGCCUGGGGAGUACGGUCGCAAGAUUAAAACUCAAAGGAAUUGACGGGGACCCGCACAAGCGGUGGAUGAUGUGGAUUAAUUCGAUGCAACGCGAAAAACCUUACCUACCCUUGACAUGUCUGGAAUGCCGAAGAGAUUUGGCAGUGCUCGCAAGAGAACCGGAACACAGGUGCUGCAUGGCUGUCGUCAGCUCGUGUCGUGAGAUGUUGGGUUAAGUCCCGCAACGAGCGCAACCCUUGUCAUUAGUUGCUACGAAAGGGCACUCUAAUGAGACUGCCGGUGACAAACCGGAGGAAGGUGGGGAUGACGUCAAGUCCUCAUGGCCCUUAUGGGUAGGGCUUCACACGUCAUACAAUGGUCGGGACAGAGGGUCGCCAACCCGCGAGGGGGAGCUAAUCCCAGAAACCCGAUCGUAGUCCGGAUCGCAGUCUGCAACUCGACUGCGUGAAGUCGGAAUCGCUAGUAAUCGCGGAUCAGCAUGUCGCGGUGAAUACGUUCUCGGGUCUUGUACACACCGCCCGUCACACCAUGGGAGUGGGUUUUACCAGAAGUAGUUAGCCUAACCGCAAGGAGGGCGAUUACCACGGUAGGAUUCAUGACUGGGGUGAAGUCGUAACAAGAUAGCCGU